rnacentral:rRNA from 1 species
CCCUUCGGGCUCUUGGUGAUUCAUGAUAACUUAACGAAUCGCAUGGCCUUGCGCCGGCGAUGGGUCAUUCAAAUUUCUGCCCUAUCAACUUUCGAUGGUAGGAUAGUGGCCUACCAUGGUAUCAACGGGUAACGGGGAAUUAGGGUUCUAUUCCGGAGAGGGAGCCUGAGAAACGGCUACCACAUCCAAGGAAGGCAGCAGGCGCGCAAAUUACCCAAUCCCGACACGGGGAGGUAGUGACAAUAAAUACUGAUACAGGGCUCUUUUGGGUCUUGUAAUUGGAAUGAGUACAAUUUAAAUACCUUAACGAGGAACAAUUGGAGGGCAAGUCUGGUGCCAGCAGCCGCGGUAAUUCCAGCUCCAAUAGCGUAUAUUAAAGUUGUUGCAGUUAAAAAGCUCGUAGUUGAACCUUGGGCCUGGCUGGCCGGUCCGCCUCACCGCGUGUACUGGUCCGGCCGGGCCUUUCCUUCUGGGGAUCCUCAUGCCCUUCACUGGGUGUGCUGGGGAACCAGGACUUUUACUUUGAAAAAAUUAGAGUGUUCAAAGCAGGCCUUUGCUCGAAUACAUUAGCAUGGAAUAAUAGAAUAGGACGUGCGGUCCUAUUUUGUUGGUUUCUAGGACCGCCGUAAUGAUUAAUAGGGAUAGUCGGGGGCAUCAGUAUUCAAUUGUCAGAGGUGAAAUUCUUGGAUUUAUUGAAGACUAACUACUGCGAAAGCAUUUGCCAAGGAUGUUUUCAUUAAUCAGUGAACGAAAGUUAGGGGAUCGAAGACGAUCAGAUACCGUCGUAGUCUUAACCGUAAACUAUGCCGACUAGGGAUCGGGCGAUGUUAUUCUUUUGACUCGCUCGGCACCUUACGAGAAAUCAAAGUC